CUGUCGAGGAUCGUGAGUAAUUUGAAGCUUGUGGUGUUUCCUAACCCUUAUAGAGAAGAUCCCGGGAAGGCUUUGAGGGAUUGGGAUCUUUGGGGCCCAUUUUUCUUCAUCGUGUUUCUGGGGCUCACUCUCUCAUGGUCUGCUUCUGUGAAGAAGUCUGAAGUUUUCGCUGUUGCAUUUGCGCUACUUGCAGCUGGCGCUGUAAUCUUGACAUUGAAUGUUUUGCU
rnacentral:misc_RNA from 1 species